rnacentral:tRNA from 1 species
GGGGAUAUGGCUCAUGGUAGAGUGCUUGCCUAGCACGUGUGAGGUCCUGGGUUUAAUUCCCAGUACUGCCU